rnacentral:tRNA from 1 species
GCCCACGUAGCUCAGUGGCAGAGCACUUCCUUGGUAAGGAAGAGGUCACCGGUUCAAUCCCGGUCGCGGGCUCCA